rnacentral:rRNA from 1 species
UACAGAGGUCCCAAGCGUUGUUCGGAUUCACUGGGCGUAAAGGGUGCGUAGGCGGUCGGGUAAGUCUGACGUGAAAUCUCCAAGCUCAACUUGGAAAUGGCGUCGGAUACUAUUCGGCUCGAGGAAUGGAGGGGAGACUGGAAUUCUCGGUGUAGCAGUGAAAUGCGUAGAUAUCGAGAGGAACACCAGUGGCGAAGGCGGCAUCCUGGACUGGUCCUGACGCUCAGGAGCGAAAGCGUGGGGAGCGAUCCGG